AAAGCGUAUCCCCGGAGUCGGGGCUCUCCCGGUUUGGCGCGAAACCGGAUCUGACGUUACCAUAGGGAGGUACUCCCUGCCCCUAGACAGGUACUGUUGUAGCUAGGGAAAGAUCCGACGAUUCCUCGGCCUUGUCCCCAGCCUUUACUUGCCUAUGUGCCUAUGUUCUACCGUUCUACUCGGUACCCUCACCCCCUCACCGCAGUCGCCGGCUUUGUUUGAGUUAUGCCUUCUUUACGCGGUGUGUUGAUAGGUGACAGCCAGGUUAAAUUCAUGUGCAGGAGUCGCCUUCACUUGAAAACAUCCGUCGAGACCUGCACAUUUAGUUUUGGUGGUUUUGACGCUGUGCGAAUGGCUGAGGCCGUCUCUGCGAUGCACUUUCAGCGCGUAGACUGACGUUGGUGGUAACGACGUUUGCGGUGCCAACGCGGACCCUCAAGAUAUAUGCGACAAUAUAGGGCUCUGAAGACGCCGAUGCGGAGCGCCAGAUCAAGAAAACGCGCUUGCUGAACCGCAAGCUGACGGCUACGCUGAAACGCCUGCCGUGUGUUCGAAUCUUGAACGCCGAGCAUGUUGGUCUUCAUUCGAGAGCUGUCUCACCUUUGGAUGUACCGAGGCAUCCACUUCCACCUUGAGCACCGCACCGUGCAGCCAACGCUCCGCGGAGCGUCUCUCGCGGGCGGCUGGGGCACGCAAGCGCAGUGACAACUGUAGGUGGUGCCUUCGCCGCG